UCCCCCGUGAGGGGGCAGUCUCGCCUGACAUUGAAAACAGGCAACGAGGGUUGCGUUCGUUACCCCACUGAAGGGAACAACUCAAGCCACGAACUGACGACGACCAUGCAUCACCUGUCCAGCCGUCUUGCGAAGGUCCUCGUUUCUGAGGAUUUUCGUCUGGAUUUCUAGCCCUGGUGAGGUUCUUCGUUUGCUAUCGAAUUGAGCCGCAUCAUCCACCGCUUGUGCAAGUCCCCGUCUAUUCCUUUGAGUUUUAAUCUUGCGAUCGUACUACCCAGGCGCCGAACUUAACGCGUUAGCUACGCCUCACAGAGGGUCGAUACUCCGUAAAGCUAGUUCGGAUCGUUUAGGGCGUGGACUA
rnacentral:misc_RNA from 1 species